UUUCCUGCCCACCACUACCAAUACAUUAAUCAAACGAGAAACGACAGUCGGAAGCGCAUCAGAGACGUAACUUGUGCAGGUAAAUGGGUGUGUCCAAGCUACUGCGAAGGAACAGGAGAAAACGAAAAUAAUAAGAUACCCACUGAGGAUGCUACAACUGUGGUGAACCACGUUUGGGUGAUUAAGUAAAACAAUAAUUUGUGUACUUACAAAAAGGUGGACUCAUCGUUAAUUCAUUAACAUUUUUCUGCAAGCACUGGAACUGAGUCCAAACUCAAAUAGGCCAAUGAUGUAAAUGGACUGUUGUAUUAUAGAAGAUGAGAAGCUGAAACUCUCAGGAAUACCUGUAAUACUACCUUUACGACAUAGUUCUCCAGUUGGACAACUCUUAAAGUUGUUGGGCAUAUAACUGAUGAACUGCAAGAGGAAAUUAUCAACAAAUGAAGCCUUCAAAGCAUGGUCUAUGGGCAAGUAUUCCACAGGGGAUACUCAGGAUCCACUAUUUUAUGUGUAUUAAUAAUCUUGUGUUGUCCAUAUGUUUGUUGUAAAAGUUGCGAAAUAGCGGUAAAGAAAUGUGUCGAAUAGCUAGUAUAGACCGUUGGGUCAGGAGAACUAAGGAAACUGAAUCCCUUUCACCGAAACCAGAUUUCACACAAUAAUGCCCAAAGUGAUACAAUGUAGUGGUAAAAUAUUGACAUAUUCUGUGAAAAUAUGUAUAACACUGUUGGAAAUAAAGAAUGUUAGCAGUCAUAA